rnacentral:pre_miRNA from 1 species
UAUUUAGUAUAAGUAUGUCCCAUGCAAUACUGGGAUAUACUUAUACUAAAC